UACGAAGGGGGCUAGCGUUGUUCGGAAUUACUGGGCGUAAAGCGCACGUAGGCGGCUUUGUAAGUUAGAGGUGAAAGCCCGGAGCUCAACUCCGGAAUUGCCUUUAAGACUGCAUCGCUCGAAUCCGGGAGAGGUGAGUGGAAUUCCGAGUGUAGAGGUGAAAUUCGUAGAUAUUCGGAAGAACACCAGUGGCGAAGGCGGCUCACUGGACCGGUAUUGACGCUGAGGUGCGAAAGCGUGGGGAGCAAACAGG
rnacentral:rRNA from 1 species